rnacentral:rRNA from 1 species
AGAGUUUGAUCAUGGCUCAGAACGUACGCUGGCGGCACGCCUAACACAUGCAAGUCGAACGAAGUAGCAAUACUUAGUGGCAGACGGGUGAGUAACAUGUGGGUAUCUGCCCUUUGGCCUGGAAUAACACGAGGAAACUUGUGCUAAUACCGGAUAAGUCUUUACGGAGAAAGCUUUAUGCACCAUUGGAUGAGCCCGCACUUGAUUAGUUUGUUGGUGGGGUAAUGGCCUACCAAGACUGUGAUCAAUAGCUGAUUUGAGAGGAUGAUCAGCCACAUUGGGACUGAGACACGGCCCAAACUCCUACGGGAGGCAGCAGUGGGGAAUCUUGCACAAUGGAGGAAACUCUGAUGCAGCGAUGCCGCGUGAGUGAAGAAGGCCCUUGGGUUGUAAAGCUCUUUCGUCGGGGAAGAAAAUGACUGUACCCGAAUAAGAAGGUCCGGCUAACUUCGUGCCAGCAGCCGCGGUAAUACGAAGGGACCUAGCGUAGUUCGGAAUUACUGGGCUUAAAGAGUUCGUAGGUGGUUGAAAAAGUUAGUGGUGAAAUCCCAGAGCUUAACUCUGGAACUGCCAUUAAAACUUUUCAGCUAGAGUAUGAUAGAGGAAAGCAGAAUUUCUAGUGUAGAGGUGAAAUUCGUAGAUAUUAGAAAGAAUACCAAUUGCGAAGGCAGCUUUCUGGAUCAUUACUGACACUGAGGAACGAAAGCAUGGGUAGCGAAGAGGAUUAGAUACCCUCGUAGUCCAUGCCGUAAACGAUGUGUGUUAGACGUUGGAAAUUUAUUUUCAGUGUCGCAGCGAAAGCGAUAAACACACCGCCUGGGGAGUACGACCGCAAGGUUAAAACUCAAAUGAAUUGACGGGGACCCGCACAAGUAGUGGAGCAUGUGGUUUAAUUCGAAGAUACGCGCAGAACCUUACCAACACUUGACAUGUUCGUCGCGACUCUAAGAGAUUAGAGUUUUCGGUUCGGCCGGACGAAACACAGGUGCUGCAUGGCUGUCGUCAGCUCGUGUCGUGAGAUGUUGGGUUAAGUCCCGCAACGAGCGCAACCCUCACUUUUAGUUGCCAUCAUUAAGUUGGGCACUCUGAAAGAACUGCCAGUGAUAAGCUGGAGGAAGGUGGGGAUGACGUCAAGUCCUCAUGGCCCUUACGUGUUGGGCUACACACGUGCUACAAUGGUAUCUACAACAGGAAGCAAGACUGCGAGGUCAAGCAAAUCCUCAAAAGAUACCUCAGUUCGGAUUGCACUCUGCAACUCGAGUGCAUGAAGCUGGAAUUACUAGUAAUCGUGGAUCAGCGUGCCACGGUGAAUGCGUUCCCGGGUCUUGUACACACCGCCCGUCACACCAUGGGAGUUGGUUCUACCUUAAGGCAAGGUUUCAAACCCUUGACCACGGUAUAGUCAGCGACUGGGGUGAAGUCAUAACAAGGUAGCCGUA